CCUACGGGCGACAGCAGUGGGGAAUAUUGGACAAUGGGGGAAACCCUGAUCCAGCGACGCCGCGUGAGUGAAGAAGUAUUUCGGUACGUAAAGCUCUAUCAGCAGGAAAGAAAAUGACGGUACCUGACCAAGAAGCCCCGGCUAACUACGUGCCAGCAGCCGCGGUAAUACGUAGGGGGCAAGCGUUAUCCGGAUUUACUGGGUGUAAAGGGAGCGUAGACGGCAGCGCAAGUCUGGAGUGAAAUGCCGGGGCCCAACCCCGGAACUGCUCUGGAAACUGUGAAGCUGGAGUGCAGGAGAGGUAAGCGGAAUUCCUGGUGUAGCGGUGAAAUGCGUAGAUAUCAGGAGGAACACCGGCGGCGAAGGCGGCUUACUGGACUGUAACUGACGUUGAGGCUCGAAGGCGUGGGGAGCAAACAGGAUUAGAUACCCCAGUAGUC
rnacentral:rRNA from 1 species